rnacentral:rRNA from 1 species
GUCGGAAUUGCUGUAAUGGCAGGUCAGCAUACUGCCGUGAAUACGUUCCCGGGCCUUGUACACACCGCCCGUCACACCAUGAGAGUUGGAGAUACCCGAAGCCUAUGAGCUAACUUUUAGAGGCAGUAGUCGAAGGUAGAAUCAAUGAUUGGGGUGAAGUCGUAACAAGGUACC